GUAUAUAUAUGUGUGGAGAUUUCAUUUAGUGACAUACAUACAACUCCACACUUGAGGUAUAUAAUUCAACUGGACAAGGUAAUUAUGGUUAAUAUCAAAACGUUGAAGGUGCAAUGCAAGGUGAUGAUGCAAAUAGACGUCGUCAUGAUCGAGACUUUUGGCAUUCACGACAGGCGUUUUUAAAAAGCUAUAACUUAUCCAAUGGAUAUAGAAGAGAUGAUGGAUUGAAAGGCAAGAUGAAGAGGACGAUGAAAGAGCUCAAUAGAUCAACUAGUCGAAUGGUUGGAGGCAUUUGUGAAGACAUGGCUAAAAGGAAGUUUGGAAUUAGGGUUUAUAGGCUCACGAUAAGUCUCCCAUCAAUGGUUUUUAUGACAGUGAGGUGUUUUUUGCCAUCAUUUAGGAACAAAGAGAAUACACUACAAACAUAUAGUUACUAAAUUCUCAAUGUAUGACUAAAAUCUCACACACUAAAAAGAUAAAAGUUCAUGUGCUUUAUUCUCUCUUGGCUUGAUCUAAAAAAGAAUUGAUCUAUAUUGUAAUUUAAACUUCGAUAGAAAUGUAUUGUCGUUUUGUUUUUAUAGGCAAAUCACAAAUGUUUGUUGGUCAGUAUAAAGAAUUUCAAAAUA